rnacentral:ncRNA from 1 species
UUGAGGCAAUAACAGGUCUGUGAUGACUUAGAUGUUCUGGGCUGCACGCGCGCUACACUGACACGAUCAACAAGUAUUUCCUUGCCCGGUAGGGUUAGGGUAAUCUUUUGAAAUCGUGUCGUGCUAGGGAUAGACGAUUGCAAUUAUUCGUCUUCAACGAGGAAUUCCUAGUAAAUGCAAGUCAUCAGCUUGCGUUGAUUACGUCCCUGCCCUUUGUACACACCGCCCGUCGCUCCUACCGAUUGAGUGAUCCGGUGAGCUGUCCGGACUGCGAUUAGUUCAGUUUCUGUUCUCUUCGCGGGAAGUUCUGCAAACCUUAUCACUUAGAGGAAGGAGAAGUCGUAACAAGGUUUCCGUAGGUGAACCUGCGGAAGGAUCAUUC